rnacentral:antisense_RNA from 1 species
UGUGGGAGCUGGCUUGCCAGCGAUGGCGGCCGUCCUGUCAAAACGAUGUCGACUGACAGUACGAAAUCGCUGGCAAGCCAGCUCCCACA